AAAUAAGAAACAAUAUUUGUAUUUAGUUUCGACCUAAAAUUUUGGUUAUUAUAACCCUUAUUUA
rnacentral:tRNA from 1 species